AUCCAGCUUACGAGUCCAAAAUAGGACGAAACAUGCGUCCAACUGGAU
rnacentral:hammerhead_ribozyme from 1 species